rnacentral:tRNA from 1 species
GCAGAUGUGGCGAAGGGGUAACGCGGUCGCGGGUGCGUGGUCGGUGAUAUACGGCGGGGUAUCUGCGGCGAUCUCGCGGGUUCGAUUCCCGUCAUCUGCC